GGGCCCGCACAAGCGGCGGAGCAUGCGGAUUAAUUCGAUGCAACGCGAAGAACCUUACCAAGGCUUGACAUACACCGGAAACGGCUGGAAACAGUCGCCCCGCAAGGUCGGUGUACAGGUGGUGCAUGGUUGUCGUCAGCUCGUGUCGUGAGAUGUUGGGUUAAGUCCCGCAACGAGCGCAACCCUCGUUCUAUGUUGCCAGCGGGUUAUGCCGGGAACUCAUAGGAGACUGCCGGGGUCAACUCGGAGGAAGGUGGGGAUGACGUCAAGUCACCAUGCCCCUUAUGUCUUGGGCUUCACGCAUGCUACAAUGGCCAGUACAAAGGGCUGCAAUACCGUAGGGUGGAGCGAAUCCCAAAAAGCUGGUCCCAGUUCGGAUUGAGGUCUGCAACUCGACCUCAUGAAGUCGGAGUCGCUAGUAAUCGCAGA
rnacentral:rRNA from 1 species